AUUGAACGCUGGCGGAAUGCUUUACACAUGCAAGUCGAACGGUAGAGGGGGCAACCCCUCGAGAGUGGCGAACGGGUGAGUAAUAUAUCGGAACGUGCCCAGUCGUGGGGGAUAACGUAGCGAAAGUUACGCUAAUACCGCAUACGCUCUAAGGAUGAAAGCGGGGGAUCGCAAGACAUCGCGCGAUUGGAGCGGCCGAUAUCAGAUUAGGUAGUUGGUGGGGUAAAGGCUCACCAAGCCAACGAUCUGUAGCUGGUCUGAGAGGACGACCAGCCACACUGGAACUGAGACACGGUCCAGACUACUACGGGAGGCAGCAGUGGGGAAUUUUGGACAAUGGACGCAAGUCUGAUCCAGCCAUUCCGCGUGCAGGAUGAAGGCCCUCGGGUUGUAAACUGCUUUUGUACGGAGCGAAAAGGUCUCUCUUAAUACGGGGGGCUCAUGACGGUACCGUAAGAAUAAGCACCGGCUAACUACGUGCCAGCCGCCGCGGUAA
rnacentral:rRNA from 1 species